rnacentral:lncRNA from 1 species
GUGACUGGCUGCGAUCGAGGGCCCGGGCGGCCGGCCAGCCGUCUCGCCGAGUGCGGACUGGCCGGAUCUGCUGUCAGUCAGCGGGAACAGACUUCUCCCUCUCCAUCUGGUCAACUGCGGGAGAAAAAUUUUCGAGAAUUUCCAGCAGGCAAGGCAGUGGCCGCUUUGACUGCUUGCUUCGGAGAUCCGAGACGACGGAGAAGGCACUCUUAUUUACCGACCAAGAAAGCUCCUCCCCCGUCCUCCGUUAGCUAAUUAAAACAUUUUUCAGGGACGUAGCCAUCCAGAGACAUUCCAUUAUUGUUCCAUUGACCUUUCCCUCAUCACUGAGUCCUUUGGAGCUGAGUUAUGUCAACAGCUGCCUUAAUUACUUUGGUCAGAAGUGGUGGGAACCAGGUGAGAAGGAGAGUGCUGCUAAGCUCCCGCCUGCUGCAGGACGACAGGCGGGUGACACCCACGUGCCACAGCUCCACUUCAGAGCCUAGGUGUUCUCGGUUUGACCCAGAUGGUAGUGGGAGUCCAGCUACCUGGGACAAUUUUGGGAUCUGGGAUAACCGCAUUGAUGAGCCAAUUCUGCUGCCACCCAGCAUUAAGUAUGGCAAGCCAAUUCCCAAAAUCAGCUUGGAAAAUGUGGGGUGCGCCUCACAGAUUGGCAAACGG